rnacentral:ncRNA from 2 species
CCUUAUAGCUAGGGGUGUCUGAAUUAAACCAGGCUGAGAAAGACCCUUAGAACCUGAGACUGGGUAAUACCAGCGUAGGGAAGCUGUUUCUUGAGGUA